rnacentral:rRNA from 1 species
AGUGAACGCUGGCGGUAGGCCUAACACAUGCAAGUCGAACGGCAGCACAGUAAGAGCUUGCUCUUACGGGUGGCGAGUGGCGGACGGGUGAGGAAUACAUCGGAAUCUACUUUUUCGUGGGGGAUAACGUAGGGAAACUUACGCUAAUACCGCAUACGACCUACGGGUGAAAGCAGGGGAUAUUCGGACCUUGCGCGAUUGAAUGAGCCGAUGUCGGAUUAGCUAGUUGGCGGGGUAAAGGCCCACCAAGGCGACGAUCCGUAGCUGGUCUGAGAGGAUGAUCAGCCACACUGGAUCUGAGACACGGUCCAGACUCCUACGGGAGGCAGCAGUGUGGAAUAUUGGACAAUGGGCGCAAUCCUGAUCCAGCCAUACCUCGUGGGUGAAGAAGGCCUUCGGGUUGUAAAGCCCUUUUGUUGGGAAAGAAAAGCAGCAUUUUAAUACCCCGCUGUUCUGACGGUACCCAAAGAAUAAGCACCGGCUAACUUCGUG